CACACACACACACACACACACACACACACACACACACACACACACACACACACACACACACACACACACACACACACACACACACACACACACACACACACACACACACACACACAGACUUGGGCACAUGAAAAGCAAAGAGGCGUGAGUGACAGGGGCUGUGUGGCUCAGAUAGUAUGAGGUGGAAAUCAGCCUUCCCCUCUGUUGCUUUCCUCAGACAGACAGGUCACCUUUGCAUUCAUUACAGGGAGGAAGAGAGAAACGACAACCACAGCACAUUGCUCUGCAGAUUACCAGUGAAAACAGCUCCAAAUACCCACCACAGGUGCCCGACGCAUGCUCCUGUAUCGCUAGGCCUGCACCCGGGAGGCCCGCAGUCAGACUGGCUAUUGUACUGAUUUUGAAAACUGUAAAAAGUUUAUAAUAAAUCUACGUGGUACUGUAAA